GAUGAACGCUGGCGGCGUGCCUAAUACAUGCAAGUCGAGCGAACGGACGAGAAGCUUGCUUCUCUGAUGUUAGCGGCGGACGGGUGAGUAACACGUGGAUAACCUACCUAUAAGACUGGGAUAACUUCGGGAAACCGGAGCUAAUACCGGAUAAUAUUUUGAACCGCAUGGUUCAAAAGUGAAAGACGGUCUUGCUGUCACUUAUAGAUGGAUCCGCGCUGCAUUAGCUAGUUGGUAAGGUAACGGCUUACCAAGGCAACGAUGCAUAGCCGACCUGAGAGGGUGAUCGGCCACACUGGAACUGAGACACGGGCCAGACUCCUACGGGAGGCAGCAGUAGGGAAUCUUCCGCAAUGGGCGAAAGCCUGACGGAGCAACGCCGCGUGAGGGAUGGAGGUCUUCGGAUCGUAAAACUCUGUUAUUAGGGAAGAACAUAUGUGUAAGUAACUGUGCACAUCUUGACGGUACCUAAACAGAAAGCCACGGCUAACUACGU
rnacentral:rRNA from 1 species